UUGCGCAGUUAGGAUCCCAGCGUUAAGGAGUUCGGCGCAGCGCGCGGUACUGCAGAGUCGCCGAAGCCACCGACCAGUACUGACGUAACUCACGAGAAGAAAACGUAAUUUUGUGGAAAUGGAAGUUAUAUGACAUUGGCUUUCCUCUUCGGCUCCCCACUGCUGAAUAGCAGUGGGGAGUCUACACAUGGAGGGGUCCCUACUUCUAACGAAGACGAGGCAGAUGUUUUGGAGUAGCGAAGGGGCUUUACUAGUGAAAAUGCAAGCACCCUUCGCGAUCCGUGUACCGAGACCCUAGUGAAAUUGCCGGGAAAAACAAACAAACAACAGCUGGGAUACAUGGAUCUAAAACAACAAUCGUAAUCUUCAAUCAAGCUGGAAUCACAGCGUUUUCUGUAGUUUGCAACGAUACACAUCGCGGGAAUGUGUAUCCGAAUUAUUCAUGUAGAAUUCUGUCUCUGUCAAAGCUAUUAUUGUAUUGUGUAUGUGUCUCAUGCAAUAAAUAGCCCUUGAAUUAAA